CAUAGCUUAUAAUAUUAAAGUAACCACACUAAGAAUUUGGCCCACCCUGAUUGGUUGUUCUGUUUUAAAACACGGCUGACAGAUAAGAUAAAAAGUAUGAAGGCACAGGACUCUGUGUGUGUGUGUUUGUGUUUCGGUCAUAAGGCAAACCAUACCCCCUGAACUGAAGAGACAUCCACUUCUCGACUGUCUGUACCUGGCCAGUGUGGAAGACGACCGACUGAAGGGCAACAUAUUUUUGGACGAAUGCAGGGUUCUCCACAUUUCCCAGACUGUUUUCCAGAACUACAGAUCAUUCCGUUUGUGAGAUGCUGCAUUUCUCACCUGCUGAUUGCAAUUAGCAACUGCCAGCUGGGACCUGGUGUGCUGCUGAAGAGCUAACAAGAAGUGGAGAGCAGCAUGAGGCCUAGACAGUAUGUCUGCUUUGAAUAUAUAAAAAUGCUGCUUUGUGUUUAUGAGAACACACCACUGCAAACAAGAUUUCCAUGCUCCUACAUGAAUGUAGCUUACUUUCCUUCGUGCCAUAGUUUAUGUAUUACUUUUUCAUACAAUACAAUCAUGGGUUUACUAGUAAGGCAACAUGUGGGGGAAUAAAGAAUAGCAUAGGUAAAAGCGAAGCCAACAACGACCUUGUUAAGCAAACCUUUCACAUAGUACUGUUGGGGACACUGGGGCAUGGCCACUAGGUAACUCGAGGGGAUGGAAGACCACGAGUGUCGAUGAAGCCCCCUCGCACUAGGCCCAGGUGUCCUUGGCCCCCCCUCCCGCCUGGAGGCACUCGCAGCAGCUCUGCGUACUAGGCCCAAGUGUCCUUGGCCCCCCCGCCUGGAGUUAUGCUGAGAAUCUGCAACACUAUGCUGCGGAAUCAGACUGCCUGAAACUAAGCAAGGCCACACAGGGCAGAUAUGGAAGAACAAUGCUGAAUAAAGCAGCUUUAUGUAUAGUUUAACAAAUGAUACAGAGAACCAGGGAACUAGCUGGGCACUGGAUUGGCUGGCUAUUGUGGAUACUUGGGGCAGCUUGCUAUUGGAUAAGUAUGCUGGGAAAAAGGAUGUAUAAAAGCCUGUGUAACUUCCUGCUCUGUGUACAGGAUUUGAGAUUCAAAUCUCCCUGUACCUUUUUGAAGCUUCAAAUAAACUUUUCUGCUUUUCCACCCCGUUGUGAUUAUUGGGUGUAGCACACCGGGUAGCGAACCAACUCAAGCUGUUGUUCAGCCUCUCGGCACUGGGUGCCGGCAACAGUACUAUCCUCAGGCAGUGUCAGUCAUGAUGGGGCCAAGUUACCUCUGUUUGUGUUAAAAGAAGCUCAUUAGACUGACAGCUAAAACUCCAUAGGCAUAGCUGAAAUUACAGUGCUGUAGCAUUCAGGAGACCUGAGCUUGUGGGUAUCAUGCUCUCUGGGGUCGGACUGUAACUGCCAACUGCCAGAGGAAAAAUAGCUUCCCUGCUUCGUGACACACAGGAGCUGACCAUGAUUAAAAUCCUGGCCCUUAUCUGAAAGCAAGCUCUCUGCUAGUGCUUCCAUGGGCACUAGCCUCUCCAGAAGGAUGGAGGGGCACUUUAAGGGGCAAAGCAAUAGCCACGCUGUCCCUGGACUGUGGGAACCCUGGAAGGCAUUGGGCUUCCCUGAGGCACAAUGCCUGCUGGUCCUCCCAAUGGGGCAGAGAGGUCCCUCAGCACUGCCAACGCUAGGAGGGGCUUAUCAGGCACAAUGAAGGCCCAAGGUGGCACACUCUGGAAGCACACUCAGUACCUAGUGGGGGAGGGUGGGUAUCCUAUCACAAAUUUCCCCAGCAAUACGACUGUGCUCAUCUGAAAUGCUAAACUGAAAUGUGCCAGGGGACGUGCACAGACAGGCAGAGUGGGGAAUAUAAAAAUAUAAUCUCCUUUUGCUCCAGCCACAUGUUGCCUGCAGAGGCCUAGUCAGUCUUUGAGUGGGAGAGGCAGCUGGUGCUUUGCAGCUGCUGUCUGUGUUAUCAAUACUCUGCUUCUUCUGAUACGGUAUAGCCCUGAAGCAUUGCAAUGCCCAUGUCGCUCACGUUUGGCACUUCAUCAUCUCCUUGUGUGGGUCAUGGUGUGUGUGGUAUUCUGCAUGUACUGCAAGAAACCCAGGACUUUGCAGGACACAGGCUCUGUGGGGCAUUGGUCUGAAUACUCAGCUCAAGCUCUGCAGGGGGCUCAGUACUGUAACUGCCACUUGCACCUUUGGGGUGAGGACAGAAUAAAGGAGAAAUGUAGAACUGGAGAAGAAAUAAAAAGCUGGAAAGUCUUGGGGAACAUGUGGUGUAUUGAGAGCUGUUUUGUAUUUGCACAUUAUUACUUUAAGAGUGGUGGGGUUUCCUGAUCCUGCUUGCAGGCUAGGGGGCUCUGUAGCAAAGCAUGCAAUCAGAGUCAGUCUUGAAAAAAUCAGCUUUAAGCAACAUGGGGUUCAGUGGUGCCUCCCUGUCUUCAGGAACAGCCUGUUUUCUCUCUCUGUGUAUUUGGGUUCUUGUGUGUUAUUGUUUUGCAUUCUAAGAAAUAAAGUAGUGUUACGUUACAACCUUC